rnacentral:tRNA from 2 species
UACUCGGUAGCUAAGUUGAUAAAACACUCGUCUAGCAAACAAGAGUUUUGGGUUUGAAUCCCACUUGAGUAC